rnacentral:rRNA from 1 species
GUAUAGGGGCUGACGCCUGCCCAGUGCUGGAAGGUUAAAAGGAGGACUUAGCUUCGGCGAAGGUCUUAAUUGAAGCCCCAGUGAACGGCGGCCGUAACUAUAACGGUCCUAAGGUAGCGAAAUUCCUUGUCGGGUAAGUUCCGACCCGCAUGAAAGGCGUAAUGAUUUGGGCGCUGUCUCAACAAUAGACUCGGUGAAAUUUAAAUUCCAGUGAAGAUGCUGGGUACCCGCGACAGGACGGAAAGACCCCGUGGAGCUUUACUGUAGCUUGAUAUUGAAUGUUUGUGCUGCAUGUGCAGGAUAGGUAGGAGACUUUGAAGUCGGAACGCUAGUUUCGAUUGAGUCACCCUUGAGAUACUACCCCUGUUGUAUGAACGUUCUAACUCUGAUCAGUUAUCCUGAUCGAAGACAGUGUCUGGCAGGCAGUUUGACUGGGGCGGUCGCCUCCUAAAAGAUAACGGAGGCGCUCAAAGGUUUGCUCAGAAUGGUUGGAAAUCAUUCGUAGCGUGUAAAGGCAUAAGCAAGCUUGACUGUGAGACUGACAAGUCGAGCAGGUACGAAAGUAGGACUUAGUGAUCCGGUGGUUCCGUAUGGAAGGGCCAUCGCUCAACGGACAAAAGCUACCCCGGGGAUAACAGGCUCAUCUCCCCCAAGAGUCCACAUCGACGGGGAGGUUUGGCACCUCGAUGUCGGCUCAUCGCAUCCUGGGGCUGUAGUCGGUCCCAAGGGUUGGGCUGUUCGCCCAUUAAAGCGGUACGCGAGCUGGGUUCAGAACGUCGUGAGACAGUUCGGUCCCUAUCCGUCGUGGGCGCAGGAAAUUUGAGAGGAUCUGUCCUUAGUACGAGAGGACCGGGAUGGACAUACCUCUGGUGUACCAGUUGUUCUGCCAAGAGCACCGCUGGGUAGCUACGUAUGGAUUAGAUAAUCGCUGAAAGCAUCUAAGUGAGAAACUAACCUCGAGAUGAGAUUUCCCAUUCGUCAGAAGUAAGACCCCUGAGAGACGAUCAGGUAGAUAGGCUAGAAGUGGAAGUGUAGUGAUGCAUGGAGCGGACUAGUACUAAUAGGU